GAUGAACGCUGGCGGCGUGCUUAACACAUGCAAGUCGAACGGGAUCCAUCAGGCUUUGCUUGGUGGUGAGAGUGGCGAACGGGUGAGUAAUGCGUGACCGACCUGCCCCAUACACCGGAAUAGCUCCUGGAAACGGGUGGUAAUGCCGGAUGCUCCGACUCCUCGCAUGGGGUGUCGGGAAAGAUUUCAUCGGUAUGGGAUGGGGUCGCGUCCUAUCAGGUAGUCGGCGGGGUAACGGCCCACCGAGCCUACGACGGGUAGCCGGCCUGAGAGGGUGAACGGCCACAUUGGGACUGAGACACGGCCCAAACUCCUACGGGAGGCAGCAGUGGGGAAUAUUGCACAAUGGGGGAAACCCUGAUGCAGCGACGCCGCGUGAGUGAAGAAGUAUUUCGGUAUGUAAAGCUCUAUCAGCAGGGAANAAGAAAUGACGGUACCUGACUAAGAAGCCCCGGCUAACUACGUGCCAGCAGCCGCGGUAAAGUCAGAGUG
rnacentral:rRNA from 1 species